AUAUUUACCUGGCAGGGAGAUACCAUGAUCUCGAAGGUGGUUUUCCCAGGGUGAGCCUUAUCCAUUACUCUCUGGAUGUGCUGACCCCUGCGAUUUCCCCAAAUGUAGGAAACUCGACUGCAUAAUUUGUGGUAGUGGGAAACUGCAUUCAUGUUUUCCCC
rnacentral:snRNA from 1 species